UGGGGAAUCUUCCGCAAUGGACGAAAGUCUGACGGAGCAACGCCGCGUGUAUGAAGAAGGCCUUCGGGUUGUAAAGUACUGUUGUCGGGGAAGAACGGCGCUUGUGUAAAUAAUGCAGGCGAUUGACGGUACCCGACGAGGAAGCCCCGGCUAACUACGUGCCAGCAGCCGCGGUAAUACGUAGGGGGCAAGCGUUGUCCGGAAUCAUUGGGCGUAAAGGGCGCGUAGGCGGACUUAUAAGUCUGAUGUGAAAGUGCGGUGCUUAACACCGUAAAGCAUUGGAAACUGUAGGUCUUGAGGACAGGAGAGGAAAGUGGAAUUCCUAGUGUAGCGGUGAAAUGCGUAGAUAUUAGGAGGAACACCAGUGGCGAAGGCGACUUUCUGGACUGUAACUGACGCUGAGGCGCGAAAGCGUGGGGAGCGAACAGG
rnacentral:rRNA from 2 species